rnacentral:rRNA from 1 species
ACAGGGGGCAAAAGUCUGAUGCAACAACGCCGCGUGAGGGACGAAGGCCUUCGGGUUGUAAACCUCUUUUAGCAGGGAAGAAGCGAAAGUGACGGUACCUGCAGAAAAAGCACCGGCUAACUACGUGCCAGCAGCCGCGGUAAUACGUAGGGUGCAAGCGUUGUCCGGAAUUAUUGGGCGUAAAGAGCUCGUAGGCGGUUUGUCGCGUCUGCUGUGAAAUUUCGAGGCUCAACCUCGAACUUGCAGUGGGUACGGGCAGGCUAGAGUGCAGUAGGGGAGAUGGGAAUUCCUGGUGUAGCGGUGGAAUGCGCAGAUAUCAGGAGGAACACCAAUGGCGAAGGCACAUCUCUGGGCUGUAACUGACGCUGAGGAGCGAAAGCGUGGGGAGCGAACAGGAUUAAAUACCCUGGUAGUCCACGCCGUAAACGGUGGGUGCUAGCUGUGGGCCACAUUCCACGUGGUCCGUGACGAAGUUAACACAUUAAGCACC